GGUUAAGCGACUAAGCGUACACGGUGGAUGCCCUGGCAGUCAGAGGCGAUGAAGGACGUGCUAAUCUGCGAUAAGCGUCGGUGAGGUGAUAUGAACCGUUAUAACCGGCGAUUUCCGAAUGGGGAAACCCAGUGUGUUUCGACACACUAUCAUUAACUGAAUCCAUAGGUUAAUGAGGCGAACCGGGGGAACUGAAACAUCUAAGUACCCCGAGGAAAAGAAAUCAACCGAGAUUCCCCCAGUAGCGGCGAGCGAACGGGGAGGAGCCCAGAGCCUGAAUCAGUGUGUGUGUUAGUGGAAGCGUCUGGAAAGGCGCGCGAUACAGGGUGACAGCCCCGUACACAAAAAUGCACAUAUUGUGAGCUCGAUGAGUAGGGCGGGACACGUGGUAUCCUGUCUGAAUAUGGGGGGGACCAUCCUCCAAGGCUAAAUACUCCUGACUGACCGAUAGUGAACCAGUACCGUGAGGGAAAGGCGAAAAGAACCCCGGCGAGGGGAGUGAAAAAGAACCUGAAACCGUGUACGUACAAGCAGUGGGAGCCUCUUAAUGGGGUGACUGCGUACCUUUUGUAUAAUGGGUCAGCGACUUAUAUUCUGUAGCAAGGUUAACCGAAUAGGGGAGCCGAAGGGAAACCGAGUCUUAACUGGGCGUUAAGUUGCAGGGUAUAGACCCGAAACCCGGUGAUCUAGCCAUGGGCAGGUUGAAGGUUGGGUAACACUAACUGGAGGACCGAACCGACUAAUGUUGAAAAAUUAGCGGAUGACUUGUGGCUGGGGGUGAAAGGCCAAUCAAACCGGGAGAUAGCUGGUUCUCCCCGAAAGCUAUUUAGGUAGCGCCUCGUGAAUUCAUCUCCGGGGGUAGAGCACUGUUUCGGCAAGGGGGUCAUCCCGACUUACCAACCCGAUGCAAACUGCGAAUACCGGAGAAUGUUAUCACGGGAGACACACGGCGGGUGCUAACGUCCGUCGUGAAGAGGGAAACAACCCAGACCGCCAGCUAAGGUCCCAAAGUCAUGGUUAAGUGGGAAACGAUGUGGGAAGGCCCAGACAGCCAGGAUGUUGGCUUAGAAGCAGCCAUCAUUUAAAGAAAGCGUAAUAGCUCACUGGUCGAGUCGGCCUGCGCGGAAGAUGUAACGGGGCUAAACCAUGCACCGAAGCUGCGGCAGCGACACUAUGUGUUGUUGGGUAGGGGAGCGUUCUGUAAGCCUGUGAAGGUGGCCUGUGAGGGUUGCUGGAGGUAUCAGAAGUGCGAAUGCUGACAUAAGUAACGAUAAAGCGGGUGAAAAGCCCGCUCGCCGGAAGACCAAGGGUUCCUGUCCAACGUUAAUCGGGGCAGGGUGAGUCGACCCCUAAGGCGAGGCCGAAAGGCGUAGUCGAUGGGAAACAGGUUAAUAUUCCUGUACUUGGUGUUACUGCGAAGGGGGGGACGGAGAAGGCUAUGUUGGCCGGGCGACGGUUGUCCCGGUUUAAGCGUGUAGGCUGGUUUUCCAGGCAAAUCCGGAAAAUCAAGGCUGAGGCGUGAUGACGAGGCACUACGGUGCUGAAGCGACAAAUGCCCUGCUUCCAGGAAAAGCCUCUAAGCAUCAGGUAACAUCAAAUCGUACCCCAAACCGACACAGGUGGUCAGGUAGAGAAUACCAAGGCGCUUGAGAGAACUCGGGUGAAGGAACUAGGCAAAAUGGUGCCGUAACUUCGGGAGAAGGCACGCUGAUAUGUAGGUGAAGCGACUUGCUCGUGGAGCUGAAAUCAGUCGAAGAUACCAGCUGGCUGCAACUGUUUAUUAAAAACACAGCACUGUGCAAACACGAAAGUGGACGUAUACGGUGUGACGCCUGCCCGGUGCCGGAAGGUUAAUUGAUGGGGUUAGCGGUAACGCGAAGCUCUUGAUCGAAGCCCCGGUAAACGGCGGCCGUAACUAUAACGGUCCUAAGGUAGCGAAAUUCCUUGUCGGGUAAGUUCCGACCUGCACGAAUGGCGUAAUGAUGGCCAGGCUGUCUCCACCCGAGACUCAGUGAAAUUGAACUCGCUGUGAAGAUGCAGUGUACCCGCGGCAAGACGGAAAGACCCCGUGAACCUUUACUAUAGCUUGACACUGAACAUUGAGCCUUGAUGUGUAGGAUAGGUGGGAGGCUUUGAAGUGUGGACGCCAGUCUGCAUGGAGCCGACCUUGAAAUACCACCCUUUAAUGUUUGAUGUUCUAACGUGGGCCCCUUACCGGGGUUGCGGACAGUGUCUGGUGGGUAGUUUGACUGGGGCGGUCUCCUCCUAAAGAGUAACGGAGGAGCACGAAGGUUGGCUAAUCCUGGUCGGACAUCAGGAGGUUAGUGCAAUGGCAUAAGCCAGCUUGACUGCGAGCGUGACGGCGCGAGCAGGUGCGAAAGCAGGUCAUAGUGAUCCGGUGGUUCUGAAUGGAAGGGCCAUCGCUCAACGGAUAAAAGGUACUCCGGGGAUAACAGGCUGAUACCGCCCAAGAGUUCAUAUCGACGGCGGUGUUUGGCACCUCGAUGUCGGCUCAUCACAUCCUGGGGCUGAAGUAGGUCCCAAGGGUAUGGCUGUUCGCCAUUUAAAGUGGUACGCGAGCUGGGUUUAGAACGUCGUGAGACAGUUCGGUCCCUAUCUGCCGUGGGCGCUGGAGAACUGAGGGGGGGCUGCUCCUAGUACGAGAGGACCGGAGUGGACGCAUCACUGGUGUUCGGGUUGUCAUGCCAAUGGCACUGCCCGGUAGCUAAAUGCGGAAGAGAUAAGUGCUGAAAGCAUCUAAGCACGAAACUUGCCCCGAGAUGAGUUCUCCCUGACUCCUUGAGAGUCCUGAAGGAACGUUGAAGACGACGACGUUGAUAGGCCGGGUGUGUAAGCGCAGCGAUGCGUUGAGCUAACCGGUACUAAUGAACCGUGAGGCUUAACCUU
rnacentral:rRNA from 1 species